AUUUCCACGACAGUGCAAGUGUUCGAAAGCACAAAGGCAGACUGUCUACCCGCGACAGUUCGCAAGUUGCGGUGGCGGGGCGGCUGUGCGGAGCGCGCGUGCAGACUUUUUGUAGAAACUCUGCAGGUCAGAAGAUUUUUGUAUGGAAUGAUCUUCUCCAAUCAAUUAUUUGAAUCUAAGGUGUGCUCAAGAGGAGAAUCAGUUUCCCAUUCAACCACUUAGGAUUCUUUCUCUCUGCGUCCUAAAUUUGGCUUUGAGACCUUGGAUGAUGAUUCUCCUAAUCUGGUCAAUGGACCACCUGCAAGAAUCACCCAGGACUGGAGCCCAGGAAUCUGCUCAGUAACGUGACUGGGGUGCAUAGGAAGAGAAGAUCAUCAGUGGCAAAUGGCAGUCACAGGAAAGCAACACCCACAGCCGGUUUCACACGUGUGGAGAGCACCCUGAGCCUCCUCCUCCUGGUUUCCCGUGCUCUGCAAGUUCAGAGAAACUUCUCUCACAACCAACUAUAGAAACAAUCUUGGAACGUACAGUCUUAGAAAUGGCUUUUUAAUUGCAGCAUAUCAGAGUGAAAAAGGACCCAGAGAUGUUGGAAUCAGACAAUCCUGGUUUCAAAUCGGUUUCAUUGUUCAUCCUCAUGUGAUGUUUGGCAAGAAAUAAAACAUUUCUGCGUUCA